rnacentral:miRNA from 10 species
AAUUAGGUUGGUGCAAAAGUAAUUGUGGUUUUUGCCAUUGAAGGUGAUAGCAAAAGCCACAAUUACUUUUGCAACAACCUAAUAAAA